GAGGAGUGAAGUCAGGCUCCGGGGGAGGGGCGGGGAGGGGCCGGCGGCGGGGCCGGAGCUGGUGCUGCUCCCGAGCCCGGCGCACCCGGGUCCCGACGCUGGCUCCAGCCGUCCCUUCUGGCUUCGCCUGGCUCUGCCCCGGCGCCGCCGCUGCUCCGCUCCUGCGGGCGUCAGACCCCCGGGGCGGCGGGGUUCCCCCUCCGACUUUGCCCGGGCUGCCCCCGCCGGCACCGCGGAGCCGGGCGCGCGCGGGUCCUGGUAACUGUCGCCGCGGCCGCCGAGGCGCUUUUCCGCUGGUGGCCCGGGCGCAGCGUUCGGGUGGCGGAGGCGUGAGCGCGGCUUCCCGGCCCGGGGUCCGCCACCGCCCGCCCUCCCCCGCCUCGGCCCGGUGCCCCGCAGCCGCGGCCCCAUCCGAGCGCAGGGGCCGGCGGCCGGGGCAGGGCGGGCGUAUUCAAUGGAAGUAUGUUACCAGCUGCCGGUGCUGCCCCUGGACAGGCCGGUCCCCCAGCACGUCCUCAGCCGCCGAGGAGCCAUCAGCUUCAGCUCCAGCUCCGCGCUCUUCGGCUGCCCCAAUCCGCGGCAGCUCUCCCAGAGGCGUGGAGCUAUUUCCUAUGACAGCUCUGACCAGACUGCAUUGUACAUUCGUAUGCUAGUGGGCCACGCACUGUGUAUGACUGUCACACACAUAGGCCUUUGUUGCAUAUGGGAGCUUCUUCCCAGACGGCAGCCUUCUCAGCUGUGUUUCAUCCUUGACCCACCAGGAGAUGUGCGCGUAAGGAGUCGAGCAGGAUUUGAAUCAGAAAGAAGAGGUUCUCAUCCGUAUAUUGAUUUUCGUAUUUUUCACGCUCAAUCUGAAAUUGAAGUUUCAGUGUCUGCAAGGAAUAUCAGAAGGUUACUAAGUUUCCAGCGGUAUCUUAGAUCAUCACGUUUUUUUCGUGGUGCAACUGUUUCAAACUCUCUGAACAUUUUAGAUGAUGAUUAUAAUGGACAAGCCAAGUGUAUGCUGGGAAAAGUUGGAAAUUGGAAUUUUGAUAUCUUUCUAUUUGAUAGACUAACAAAUGGAAAUAGUCUAGUAAGUUUAACCUGUCAUUUAUUUAGUCUUCAUGGAUUAAUUGAGUACUUCCAUUUAGAUAUGGUGAAACUUCGUAGAUUUUUAGUUAUGAUUCAAGAAGAUUACCACAGUCAGAACCCGUACCACAACGCCGUCCACGCUGCGGACGUCACUCAGGCCAUGCACUGUUACCUACGAGAACCCAAGCUUGCCAACUCCGUAACUCCUUGGGAUGUCUUGCUGAGCUUAAUUGCAGCUGCCACGCAUGAUCUGGAUCAUCCAGGUGUUAAUCAACCUUUCCUUAUUAAAACUAACCAUUACUUGGCAACUUUAUACAAGAAUACCUCAGUCCUGGAAAACCACCACUGGAGAUCUGCCGUGGGGUUAUUGAGAGAAUCCGGUUUAUUCUCACAUAUGCCGUUAGAGAGCAGGAAACAAAUGGAGACUCAGAUAGGUGCUCUGAUACUGGCCACAGACAUCAGUCGCCAAAACGAGUACCUGUCGCUGUUCAGGUCCCAUUUGGAUAGAGGUGACUUAUGCCUGGAAGAUGCCAGACAUAGGCAUUUGGUUUUACAGAUGGCUUUGAAAUGUGCUGAUAUUUGUAACCCGUGUCGGACCUGGGAAUUAAGCAAGCAGUGGAGUGAAAAAGUAACAGAGGAAUUCUUCCAUCAAGGAGACAUCGAGAAGAAGUACCAGCUGGGUGUGAGUCCAUUUUGUGAUCGUCAGACUGAAUCUAUUGCCAACAUCCAGAUUGGUUUUAUGACAUACCUAGUGGAGCCUUUAUUCACGGAAUGGGCCAGGUUUUCCAAUACCAGGCUGUCCCAGACGAUGCUCGGACACGUGGGGCUGAACAAAGCCAGUUGGAAGGGACUGCAGAGAGAACAGCCCAGCAGUGAGGACAGCGAAGCUGCACUCGAGGAGCUGAACUCAUAGUAUUACCUCAGGAAACCGGUUGUCAUAACCCAGAACCGGGGACAGGCUGCCUCCUGGAGGUUAGAAGGUGGCAUGGGGGCUGGAGGUGAGGGAACUGACUCGGCUGCAGGUUUCCGGGUGGAUGAUGCCAGGAUUUCCUCUGCCGGCCACUUGAACCCACUUUUUAAUUAUGAGGCCUGAACACAGCAAUAUGGAUGCGGCCCGCGUGUGAAACCUGAUCUGCAAAGCCUGCAGGCGUGACUCCAAAGGAGACGCAAAGGAAGUUCUGCUGAGUGCCAGGUGUUGCUCAAAGCAUCUACUCUGCGAACAUGAAACUUGAACUGAACCUUUCAGCAGAAAUCUCUUGGAAUCUAACCAGUCUCAUGCAGCCUCGUGUGUCUGUACCUCCCUCUAAGGUCUCUGAAAAAUGGAAAUGUGAAGUGCCCAGCUCUGCUGCCUCUGGCCAGACUUGAUGUUUACAAAUCCACUCUGAAAUACUGGUUCUACAUUUGCCUUGGAGCAUAAUUGCUAAGGAACCACUAAGAAUUUUAAAGAUCAAACUUUCAACUGCAGCUCCUUCCCCCUGGUUUGCCUUUCUUCUCCUUUGGAUGCCACCAAGCCUCCCGUUUGCCCUGGUUUUAUUUGUGCACUGAAAACCGUGCACUACCACAGCGUGUGCCACGCUUUCCCGCCAGUGCUGUUUGGCAGUGCCCUCUUUUUAACGCUUAGUUUUAAUUUGGGCGGGAGGGGCAGAGCACAGUGUCCUAGCUGUAUUAUGAUUCCGCAGUGGAGACAUUGCAUGUUGUUUUCACUCCUGUACACUUGACCUGCACAUGCAAGAAAAGGUGGAAUGUGUAAAACACCAUAAUCAGCUCAGGGUAUUGCCAAUCUGAAAUAAAGUGGGAUGGGGAAGUGUGUCCUUCAGAGCAAGGGUCCUAAAGCCCCUUUCGCUGCAGUGAGAGGCAGAUCUUCUUGGGAAGCCAGAUUGUGAUCAGCCGGUUACUUGGUGAGCAUGGAUUCUGAGCAAGGGAAGCAAGUUGCCUCAUGCAUCCGUCUCCCUGUGGGGCCAUCCCUGCUGAUGCCGUGUUUAUGGAACAGGGUUCCCUCUUCCUGUGGACGAUGCUAGAGGUUCUCUGCCAUUCGCUGCUUCACAUCAGCUUCUGAUUGGCACUUUCAGUAGAUAUGUCAGUACCUUCAGCCUUGUCUCCUUUGAACUGGCCUGGGCUCCCAUCUGCCUGUGUCUGGUCAAUUGCUUUUGCUCUGAUCCACUGUUUCUUACUGAUAUUCAAAGGAUUGUUUUAUUUCCACUCUCAGGGGGAGACUUCUCAGUAUUGCUCUCAUUUCCUGCCUAACACAUAAUAAACUGUUUUUGUUACGUUACGUAUAUGUGGGAAUCGCUGUCUAUACUGCUUUUUAACAUAUGACCUAUGUUCCUUGAGCAUUAAUUUUCUAGAAAAAUUUGAGAAAACAGUUCAAUAAUUUAGAAGAUCACAUUUGAAAUAAUUAGCUAUAUUAUGGGAUGGAAUGCAAAAUGUUAAAACAGGAGACUUCAAAGAAUUGUUGAGCAUAAUGUAGCCACCCAUUGGGGCUCCAGGCCCAAUUCUCCAUUUGUGGGGGCAUCUGCUAUGCUUGGGGGUAAAGGCCCUUGGAGAGAGAAUUUUGGUGAGCCUCAGCUGAAUGAGCAAAGAUCUGGUUCCUGUCAGUAUUUAUACUCUGUAAAUGUGAUGGUUCAUAACGAUUCUCUGUAUAAAAAAAACUAUUUUAAGUCCUUUGCAAACCUGGGAAAUAUAUUUGUACCUAACAUACAGGUUUAGAGGUGCUAAGAGUUCUUUGAAGAUUCCUGUAACAGUCUUUUUCCAAAAUGCUUUCUUGUCUCUUAAAGCUUUCACUUUUCUUAAAACCUUAAAACUUUCACAUCAGAGAUUUACAAUGUUUUCAUGUGUACUUUUUUAAAUGUAUGAAUAUUUUGUUUAAAUCCCCUCCUAAUCAGUACCUCUUUGCUUGGGAAAAUAUAUAAUGACUGAUAGCGACUGUGCAUUUAGUAAUGUUUUUAAAUAAAUGUGCAUAUUAAACACCAUUGGAUCAGCAGACAUUGGAAGCAAAAGUUUGUACAGGUAUGUGCAAGAUAUGAGCCACUCCUUGCUUGCUGUGGAUCUGCAGACAGCCUGUCUUCUGGAAGGCCCCAGAGGUCCACAGUGGAAUGACGGGGGUGAGCUGACUGGAGUGUCUGGGGCAGGGGGCGGGAGACAAGUUCUUCUCCAUCUUGUCUGGUGCUCAGCAUAGGGCUCGCGUAAAUUGGGCCAUCAGUAAGUGGUUGUUGGAUAAAUAACUUGGUGGUUUAAUUAUGUUAACUUUUUAGCUAUCAAGAGAAAUUAUACUGAAAACUAGUCUGUUUAUGCUGAAGUUAUGUGGUAAGCAAUACCCAAGUUCCUGUUGUGUGCAGAGCACUGCGCUGGAUGAAAUAAAGGAAUUCACAAGAGGACAGGCUUUCUCUACAGAAGAGCCUAUGACCUGGGAGACAACUAGAACUAAAGACUAAGUCCUCCACCCUAAGCCUGUGCAGGUGCCAGAAUUCAGUCUACUGGAAACCAGUGACCUCGUAUAAAAUGAUGUGCUCAGCAAUGGCUCGAACUACUACCUACGUUGUACCAGGAAAGAAGCCUGACCUGAUACUCACCAACACUGUUUCUGAAGUGGCCUCUGACGCAGACUUUGGAACUCCUUUUUCAGCCUCAUCUUGGCUAUCACUUCGGUACCGUGUCGAGAAAGACGGAAGACUAGUGGUAACUGAGACUGAAUUCAGAGGAAGGAACCAGUCAGAAGCAGUGUUUUCAGGACAGAGGAUGGACACGCCACCAUGGGCACCAGAGGUGAGGGCUCCUGGAGGAUGACAGCUGGAUGAAGUGGAACAGAGAGGAGAGAAACACAGAACCUGCGCAGAAAGACUCGUCUCUGCCCCGUCUUUCAUAGUAACAUACCUAAGAUAACAUAUUCACCUGUGAGGGUGAUGAUUUGUUUUAAACAGAAAAUAAAAUUUUGGAUACUAGAA